rnacentral:lncRNA from 1 species
GCCCUUUAGUUGGGUUGUUCUUUGUUAUCGGAACUCAGUAUUUUUGUGCUUUUAGUUUUUUUUUACACAUUUCCGAUUUCCCUUCUCAAUUUGAGUUCAGGAAAAUGGACGCAAUAAACUCCAAAACAUACAAAUGAACCACAAUCAGAAAAAAAAACCCACAAGACUAACAAAGGCUAUCGGUUUCUUACUUGGAUCAGGCUAGAAUAAAAGCGGCGGGGCCAAUAUUUUGGUGAAAUUUCGAUCCUCC